rnacentral:misc_RNA from 1 species
CAACCCCUCAAGCACUGCUUGGUGUUGGGGCCCCUACGUGCGCCGUAGGCCCCGAAUUCCAGUGGCGGGCUCGCCGCGAACCCGAGCGUAGUAGCUUUUGCCUCGCUCAGGGCCCGCGGCGGGCGCCUGCCGUGAAAGAACCCACAUUCCAAA